GUUUUAUUCACUCGUGGGAGGAAAUCUGAGGCAUUUCAUGUAAAUGUGACCAAGAGAGGAGAGGAAAAAAAAGAUUGCUGGAUUUCUGUUAACGGACCGAGCUGCUGGAGGAACGAGAGGGCUCUCCCAAUCGAUGUGACGUCUUUGCCCCGGUGGGAAUGGCUCGAUCCAGAAGGAGAAUGUAUUAAACCUGUGCAAUAAUUUUGGUUUGGGCCCAAAAACUCUGAGACUGAAAAAAGCCUGUAUUUGGUCCUGCUGAAAGGUUGUGUAUGGCUUUAUUUUCUGCAAAUAAAUGUUCAAGUCUAAAA